AUGCCCACGCCGGCGCCGCACCUCGUCGACGAGAUCCUCGAGGAGAUCUUCCUCCGCCUGCCCACCCCGGCCGACCUCGCCCGCGCCUCAACCGCCAGCCCCCGUUUCCGCCGCAUAAUCACCGACCGCUCCUUCCUCCGCCGCCACCGCAAACUCUACCCACCUCCUCUCCUAGGGCUCGUACACCAGGAUGGCGGCUUCCAGCCAGCCGAGGCGCCCCAGGCCUCCGCCCCACUCGCCCGAGCCCUCGCCGACGCCGCUGAUUUCACCUACUCCUUCGUCCCCGUGCGCAGCAAGGGCAUCCCCUGGCAAGUCCGCGACGUCCGCGACGGCCGCGUCCUCCUCGAGGACUGCCGAUUUUUGGAGACCCUCAAAGACAUGGCGGUGUGUGAUCCCUUGUCACGGAGCUACGUGCUGCUCCCGCCCAUACCGACGGACCUCGCUGUCCAGGAAGAGCACCCACUUGAUAUCGUGCCCAUCCUUGCUCCCAUUGGCGAUGAUGAAGAUGAGAUGUUGUUCAAGGUGAUAUGCUUAGCCACCUAUGGUUCCAAGAUAACCGCGUUUGUCUUCUCGUCUGUCACACAGCAAUGGUGUAUAGCUGCAUCUAUCGCUCGGAGUUUGUCAGGCGUGGACUAUCGUCCCCUUGGACUGCGCAUGUCUCCCACUUAUGGGUUCCGUGGCUUGUCCGGUUUCGACAACGUGCGCGGAUGCUUCUACUUGGCGUCACCUUGGUUAGACAAGUUGUUCGUGCUGGACACACAAAGAAUGGAGUUUUUCACUGUGAACUAUCACACCGGCUAUGAUAUACUGCUCACACAUCUGCCUGGCCGGAUACUCAAAUUUCUCGCCAGUUACGAUAAACCCCCUAGAAUUCUACCUGGCCAGAACAGAAGUUUGCCUGGCAUUGUAGUAGGUAGAGAAGGAUAUCUCGAGAAGUUUUCUCUCGUCGGUGAUCACAGCCCAAAUGGCUCAUUUGAUCUCUAUCAUAUGACUCAGCAAAACAAUGGUGAAUCUUCCAGUGAUUGGCAGCUAGAGAAUAUUAUACCGUUGCCUCGCGGAUAUGAUUAUUUCACUGUGAGUGCAGCUGAGGGACUCUUAUUCCUUGGAGCCACUACUCAAGAUCAAGUGGAUUUUGAUAUAGCUUCCGGGGUACCAUUGUCCAGGACUGAUUGGGAUAUAGAUUAUUUUUCCCUCGAGGUCAAGACUUCUGAACUGAGGAAGGUUUGUAGGAGCAGGGGGCAAUUCUUCCAAUCUGAACAUGUUCACUGGUACUUUGGCUACCCCCCGCCGUUGUCAAAACCAAGUAUAUGA
rnacentral:rRNA from 1 species